rnacentral:rRNA from 1 species
UGAUUUCCUACGGGAGGCAGCAGUGAGGAAUAUUGCACAAUGGGGGAAACCCUGAUGCAGCGACGCCGUGGGUGAAGAAGGUCUUCGGAUCGUAAAGCCCUUUUACCCCUGACGAGGAAGGACGGUAGGGGGAGAAUAAGCCUCGGCUAACUACGUGCCAGCAGCCGCGGUAAAACGUAGGAGGCGAGCGUUAUCCGGAGUUACUGGGCGUAAAGGGUCAGUAGGUGGUCGAACACGUCUGAUGAGAAAGCUCUCGGCUAAACUGAGAGAGGGCGUCGGAUACGGUUGGACUAGAGGGUGAUAGAGGAGCGUAGAAUUCCGGGUGUAGUGGUGAAAUGCGUAGAGAUCCGGAGGAAUACCAGUGGCGCAGGCGGCGCUCUGGGUCACACCUGACACUGAGAGACGAAGGCAUGGGGAGCGAACGGGAUUAGAAACCCCGGUAGUCCAUGCAGUAAACGAUGCACACUGGAUGUUUGGGGGUCGCAAGACCCUUGGGUAUCGAAGCCAACGCGAUAAGUGUGCCGCCUGGGAAGUACGGUCGCAAGACUAAAACUCAAGGAAUUGACGGGGGCCCGCCAAGCAG